CGCGUAGGUAACCUGCCUGGUAGCGGGGGGUAACUAUUGGAAACGAUAGCUAAUACCGCAUAAUAGCAGUUGUUGCAUGACAACUGUUUGAAAGGUGCAAUUGCACCACUACCAGAUGGACCUGCGUUGUAUUAGCUAGUUGGUGGGGUAACGGCUCACCAAGGCGACGAUACAUAGCCGACCUGAGAGGGUGAUCGGCCACACUGGGACUGAGACACGGCCCAG
rnacentral:rRNA from 1 species